AUAGAGAGACAUAUUCUGUUUCCAAAUAUGGCAUCAAAACUCAAGUUAAACUAACAAAAUAACUUUGUAUGUCUUAGUUCCACCCCCCACACCUCCUGUCCCACUCCACCCCACCACAAAAAUAACAAGGAAAAAUAGAGUAAUAUUUCAGCAUAGAGGAGUGCAUCUUCUCUCCCAAUUAGAUAGGACCCAUUAGCAAAAUUCAUGGAUGUGUCCCAACUAAUUGUGAGAA
rnacentral:misc_RNA from 1 species